rnacentral:rRNA from 1 species
UACAGAGGUCUCAAGCGUUGUUCGGAUUCAUUGGGCGUAAAGGGUGCGUAGGUGGUGAUGCAAGUCUGGUGUGAAAUCUCGGAGCUCAACUCCGAAAUUGCACCGGAUACUGCGUGACUCGAGGGACUGUAGAGGAGAUCGGAAAUUCACGGUGUAGCAGUGAAAUGCGUAGAUAUCGUGAGGAAGACCAGUUGCGAAGGCGGAUCUCUGGGCAGUUCCUGACACUGAGGCACGAAGGCCAGGGGAGCAAAACGGG